CAAUAGCGUAUAUUAAAGUUGUUGCAGUUAAGAAGCUCGUAGUUGGAUUUCUGGUGGGAGCGAUCGGUCUGGCGCUUAGCGCGAGUACUUGCAUCGUCUCCGGCCAUCCUUGGGGAGAGUCUGUCUGGCAUUAGGUUGUCGGGCAGAGGAUCCUCAUCGUUUACUGUGAAAAAAUUAGAGUGUUCAAAGCAGGCUUAUGCCGUUGAAUAUAUUAGCAUGGAAUAAUAAGAUAGGACUUUGGUACUAUUUUGUUGGUUUGCGCACCAAAGUAAUGAUUAAUAGGGACAGUUGGGGGUAUUCGUAUUCCGUUGUCAGAGGUGAAAUUCUUGGAUUACGGAAGACGAACUACUGCGAAAGCAUUUACCAAGGAUGUUUUCAUUAA
rnacentral:rRNA from 1 species